UGUGACUCCACACUUAGAACCUGAGACCACAGAGCGGGUCCAUGAGAAUCCAUUGUGCACGCGAUGCAUCUGCUAUGAAGCAAGUGGAGUCCCUGCAGAGUUGGGAAAAGCAUAGCACCAGCUGCCCCCUCUGUCCUCAUACCCUGACCCCAGCCAGACUUCUGACCUGACGGCAAACUUCACCCCAACCUGGGCAGGAUCCAGCUGAGUCAGACUGACAUUUCUCCCCCAAACCAAGGCUCUCCCUUUUGGCCUGCUGGAGCAGAAACAGAGAGGAGGAGCAGGCCCAGAUGGACUACAACUUGCAUCACACAGCGAAGGCUGAGCUCCAGGCUGGCAGUUGCUGCCCUGCCCUACCCUACCCGUUGUGCUUCCAAGUAGAACACAGAGCCAUGGCGCAGAGUCGCAGCCUGGGAGAACCUGAGCAGGGCCCACCAUGCCAGAGAAAGCAGAGCCGAGCUACAAAGGAGACUCCCAGACCAGACUUACUGCCUGGAAGAAUCAGAAGCCAGCCCAGACACCUGGAGAUUUAGAGCAACCGUGGCACCUGGAAAGGACACCCUCUGAUCUGUUGAGCUGCCUGUGCAGUGUGCUCCAGGUCUAUCAGUCUUUGUGAGCUGGGGUGGGCUCUGUUGAUGCAGCUGUCUUUGAGUAACUUCUGCUCCUGUAAGCAACCCCUCACCAACGCUUCUGAAAAGUUUUGUCACACAACACUAUCAGCUGUUAGAUAACACUUAAGGAUUCAGCGUCUCACUAUCAUUGCAAAGGUGUAACAAAGAACCCUUGCUUCCUGGAUUCAAAGAAACAACGGUUGUAGAUUCACAGAACGUUGGUGCCUUAGGAAUUAGUGGGCAUCCUACUUUCUUCUCAAGCCUUGAUGUUGAUCCUGCAGGAGGGAGGGAGAGCAAGGCCCAGAACUGCUUCUACUCCAAGCACAGCCCAUGCCUACCUCCUUCCUCAACCUGAAGCAAAGUUUGAUUCUUUUGGCUGCAUCAGCCCCUUCCCCUCUGCUGAAGUGGGCCACAGAAGCCAUCUGGACCAUGAUGCAAGCCAAGGUUGGGAAAUUUACCACACUUCCUUGAUGGGAACAGUCCCAGCAAAUGUGCCGAUGACUUCACUGAGUGAGCAAGCAGGGACUUCCUUGCGAUCUCAAAUCCAGGACCUCGGUGUUCCAGCAGACGGCACAGCAUCUGUCCCUGACACCUAGUGGUUUUCGGGUUUCCCUCAGUGACUCAGACACUGCCACAGAGGCAAAGGUGCCCAGCUCACGCUUUCUGAGUCAUCCUUCCAACUACAGAACUCUGGGCUCCAGCCAGAUCCAUAGCAUAACAAUUUGCCACUGAAAUAGUUGACAAUUUCCACGCAUUCCAGCUCAGGAAGUGCUGGCUUGCUCUCUGCUAUCCCAUCCCUGCUUUGAAUAGGAGGAGCUAAUCUUGGCUAAUAACAAAUUACUACCUCCACUAAGAUGCUUACUAUUAUGAAUGCGUGUGGUACUGCAUGUGUGUACAUGACAAACCCACGUAUGAAAAAGAACAGACUUAGAAAGAUGAGUUAAGGAUAAGGCUGGCACAUUCCCCUAAUAUCAAAACUCAGAGGAUGUGGCAAAUGAACUGUGAGUUCUAGGACAGCCUAGGAUACACACAUAAUUACAAGACCUCCAGGGCUACAUAGAGACCCUGUCUCAA
ensembl:antisense Gm10851 predicted gene 10851